GACGAACGCUGGCGGCGUGCCUGACACAUGCAAGUCGGACGGUUCUUGCACCUUCAAGCUUGCUUGUUGGUUCAAGGAUAGUGGCGGACGGGUGAGUAACGCGUGAACACCUACCCAUUGGAGGGGUACAACCCGUCGAAAGGCGGGCUAAUACCGCGUAAGCCGUGAGGUGAAAGGCUGCUCUUUGGUGGCUGCCGAUGGAUGGGUUCGCGUCCUAUCAGCUGGUUGGUGGGGUAACGGCCUACCAAGGCUAAGACGGGUAGCCGGCCUGAGAGGGUGACCGGCCACACUGGGACUGAGACACGGCCCAGACUCCUACGGGGGCAGCAGUGGGGGAUCUUGCACAAUGGGCGAAAGCCUGAUGCAGCGACGCCGCGUGAGCGAAGAAGGCCUUCGGGUUGUAAAGCUCUGUCUGGAGGGACGAAACAAAUGACGGUACCUCCGGAGGAAGCCACGGCUAACUACGUG
rnacentral:rRNA from 1 species